GCAUCCCAUAUGGGCGUUGGUUCGAGUUCCAGCUGCUCCACUUCUGAUACAGCUCUCUGCUGUGGCCUGGGAAAGCAGUAGAAGAUGGCCUGUGUGUGUGUGUGUGUGUGUGAGAGAGAGAGAGAGAGAGAGAGAGAGUCUUCCAUCUACUGGUUCACUCCCCAAUUGGCCGCAAUGGCUGGAGCUGAGCUGAUCUGAAGCCAGGAGCCAGGAGCUUCCUCCAGGUCUCCCAUGUGGGUGCAGGGGCCCAAGGACUUGGGCCAUCUGCUACUGCUUUACCAGGACAUAGCAGAGAGCUAGACUGCUAGAGGAGAGCCGGGACUCGAACCAGCGCCCACAGGCCGACGUCGCAGGUGGAGUCUUAGCCUGCUACGCUGCAGCGCCGGCCCCAUCACCGAGCCUUUGACAGAACCAGCGGCAGGUGGCUGGCUUGAAGAUGAUGAGAAGCAGGUGCAGCAGAAGUGGGUCCUGCUGGCUCACAGACCUGAGGGAGUGACAGAGAUGCCUCAGCCCCGCCCCUGGAAGCAAAACACAGCAGCUGAGCCUGAGGCUUUAAUCCCACACAGCUAGCCCGCACCGCACGGCACCUGCUGGGCGGAGGAGAGUUCCCACCCCUGACUACCCUUGAUAGGACACACGGUCUCCAUGAGCCCAAACCGGGCCAAGCCUUCUGCACACCGUGGAAAAUCCUUGAGUCCAGCUCCCUGCUAAUGCGCCUGGGAAAGCAGUAGAAGAUGGCCCAAGUGCUUGGACCCCUGCACCCACGUGGGAAGAAGCUCCUGGCUCCUGGCUUCAGAUCAGCCCAACUCUGGCCAUUGUGGUCAUUUGGGAAGUGAACCAGCAGAUGGAAGACCUCUCUCUCCUUCUCUCUGUCUCUCUCUCUCUGUAACUAUACCUCUCAAAAAAUUAAUAAAUUCUCUAAAAAAAAUUAAAAGACUC